rnacentral:rRNA from 1 species
CCCUUAGAUGUUCUGGGCCGCACGCGCGCUACACUGAUGCAUUCAACGAGCCUAUCCUUGACCGACAGGUCCGGGUAAUCUUUGAAUCUGCAUCGUGACGGGGAUAGAUUAUUGCAAUUAUUAAUCUUCAACGAGGAAUGCCUAGUAGGCGCAAGUCAUCAGCUUGCGUCGAUUACGUCCCUGCCCUUUGUACACUCCGCCCGUCGCUCCUACCGAUUGGGUGUGCUGGUGAAAUGUUCGGAUCGGCCGUUUGUCGCGGUUUCCGCGGCUCGUGGCUGAGAAGUUCAUUAAACCCUCCCACCUAGAGGAAGGAGAAGUCGUAACA